rnacentral:lncRNA from 1 species
GCCAGCCCAGGAGAGACCCUGAGGCAGAGCAGCAGAAAGCUCCUGGGCCUCAGAGUCAGAGCUCAAAGCCUGUCUCUGCCAGUGUCCACCUGUGGGAUGCUCACAGCAGCCACCUGACAGCCACCAUUUACUGAGCACACCUGGGCCUGCCAGCCUCAGAUCUGCCCUGGACCUUCCCUGCACUGCACCAGAUCUAGACAGGCUGUCCACCGCAGACCCUGUUUCCCAGACCCCCUUGUCACCUGGCUCCCCACUGGCUUUGUCCAGAGGGAGCCUGGAGGGUGGGCAGGUGGAGAACCAGGCUACUUCUCCCUCACUGUUCCUGCCCUGGGGACAUCUCCAGCGGGGUCUGAGUUUCCCCGGGCUCCAGUUCCCGCGGGAUAGACCUCCA